rnacentral:lncRNA from 1 species
GCAGAAGAUGAUCUGCAGCAUCCUGCUGCUCAUCAACCUGACCUCCUGUGUCUGUGGAACAUUUGUAGUGAAUGUGACACAGACCUCCUAUCAGGCAGAGAAGAACCAUAACAUCACACUGGAAUGGACGUUCACAACCAACACUGACAGUUCCCUCAAUUCUCUUUAUAUCUACUGUAAACUGUUUACUGAUCACAAGGUUUCAGUCCUGUUUCAUCUACAUGAAGGUGUCGAGGUCUCAGAGUCUCAGGAUGAACAGUUUGCAGGACGAGUCCACUGCGACAAAGACGUCCUCAGAGAAGGACGAAUCAGACUUCUUGUGUCCAGACUCAGGACUGAAGACUCGGGCCUGUACCUGUGUAAAGUGCUCACAAAGUAUGAUGUCAGCACUGGCAAAUGUCAGCUCAGUGUCACUGCAGCAGCUGCUAAUAAGCCCAAAUCUCAGAGACCAACAGAGAGUCCACAACCAGAGAGUCCACAACCAGAGACUCGGGGAAGGAUCAGCCUCUAUGCUGGACUGGCAGCAGUAGCUUUACUGGCUGUCUGCUUUACCUUCAGUCUUUGUUUCACUAAAUCUACUGAUAAGGCAGUAAAAAAAUUGAAAAGCACAAACACUGAGAAUGGACUUGAAGUGGACUUGAAAAAUGUUUCCAUAGUCACAGAAUCUGGACUUUUCCAUAAGGGAGCAGGAGUUGUUCAUUUUAAGAAUCUUAAACAAGGCAAUUGA